rnacentral:lncRNA from 1 species
UCCAUGGAGUGUUGCCAUACAUAUAGAUCUAUAUGUGUGGAUACCUCAGAGAUGUCAUUUUCUUCUACACUAGAUCAACGGAUUGUCCUCAAGAAAUUCUUGCGCCUGUGAGGUAUAACCAAGCUGUGGGAAUCGUUACGUUACACCAACUCCCCUUCGGCUGCGUGGAAACAUUGGUGAGAUGAAAUUUACAUGUAACGUCAUAGUGAUCUUGGGAUGAUCGUGUGCAUAAAUAUUUCUUGUUUCGUACUCCGUUCUCCUAUAAAAAGGGAUUACUAUUGUAGGUGGAGACAUGGAGAGUGGAGAUGCAAGAGUAGUAGUGGAGUCCCGUAGUUGUGGCACGUCUGAGGCCAAGUUAGAGCCGUAGGGUAGCUCUCCUUUAGCUACAAAGAAGACAACCCAAGUCUGGUGUUCAUGGAGGUUCGACGCAUUGAUUACUUCUAGGCAGGGGAGAAUAUGCUCGAAGGUGGAGUUUAUUAUAUUUGUCUCUAAUAUUAGUAUGUGUGGGGUUACGUGGACUUGGAGUUGAAAUUGGUGUGGAUACAUAGGAGUCAUGUUUGAGUCGGACAUUGUAUCCUAUGCCUCUUAUAUAUGAGAGAGCACCAAACCUUGUAACCCCAUGAUGAUUUGAUAGCAACAGGUACGCAUGGGAGCCGGCAGCAUGUGUCGGCGCCAAAUGACCAGUGUUGCAGUAUCUUUGAGAGGAGCAUAUGUAGUCAUUGCCCCGAGAAUGUAGCCGAUCUCGGUGAACCUUGUUAACAAAUAUCAUGCCCCGGUGUCGUAUGUAAUUUUGCAUGGUAUAUUUAUUCUAACAUUGUGC